CCCUUAGAUGUUCUGGGCCGCACGCGCGCUACACUGAUGCAUUCAACGAGUUUCUUCCUGGUCCGAGAGGAAUGGGUAACCUUUUGAAAGUGCAUCGUGAUAGGGAUAGACUAUUGCAAUUAUUGGUCUUCAACGAGGAAUUCCUAGUAGACGUAGUUCAUCAGACUGCAUCGAUUACGUCCCUGCCCUUUGUACACACCGCCCGUCGCUCCUACCGAUUGAAUGCUCAGGUGAGCCAUUCGGACUUUCAUCAUGCUUGUUUCCAGUUUUGAUGAAGGAAAGUCUUGCGAACCUUAUCAUUUAGAGGAAGGAGAAGUCGUAACA
rnacentral:rRNA from 1 species